CUCCUGAAGUGUCUUCUGCUCAGUAAUAGGGGGUUCAUUCUAACAUCAUGCAGAAAUUACUGUUUUUACUGGUUCCCUGUGUACUAGCAGUAGUACUCGUCAAUGGUUAUACAGGAUUCGGUGGUGCAGCUGGAGUCGGUGGUGGUGCAGCUGGGGUCGGUGGCGGUGCAGCUGGAUUCGGUGGCGGUCACGCUGGAGGCUAUUACGGCGGUGGAGGACAAACUGUUAGUCAAGGUUACCCAUUGAAGACAUAUCAGAACGUCGUUCAUACUUUAAAUGAAAGAAAUCGUUUAGCCUACGACCAAUAUCUUAUUGGAAGUUACAGAAACCCUAACAAAUGGUCAUUCAUUGCUCCUCUUCUCCUGCUGGGACUUCUUCUUGCAAACAGAACUUCUAUCGCAACAACUGGUUAAAGAGUUGAAUAGACUUUGUAUAUAUACUGCUUAUUGGGGAUUGACGGCCAGACCACACAGCACUGACAUGCAAAAAAAGUGUUACAAAUAAAAUAAAAAUACUUAUUUAUCUUA